rnacentral:tRNA from 1 species
GCCCCGUUAGUAUAGAGGCCAAGUAUACGGCCCUUUCAGCGAGAAAGCACGGCCGGGACCCGAGUUCGAAUCUCGGACGGGGCG